GAUGAACGCUGGCGGCGUGCCUAACACAUGCAAGUCGAACGGAAAGACUCUGCUUUGGUGGGGUGCUGGAGUGGCGAACGGGUGAGUAACACAUAAGCAACCUACCCACGAAGUCGGGAUAAAUCCAGGAAACUGGGGACAAAAACCGGAAAGAGAAUCUGAUGCAUGGUGGGGGUUGGUAAGGUUCGGAGGUGGGGGUUGGGUUGCCGGUUGAGCAGCUGGUUGUUGGGGUGGUGGCUUACCAAGACGACGAAGGGUCGUCGGCGCGAGAGGGUGACCGGCCACAUUGGGACUGAGAUACGGCACGGACUCGUACGGGAGGCAGCGGUGGGGAAUAUUGCACGAUGGGCGGACGCCUGAUGCGGCAACGCCGCGUGCGGGAUGACAGGCUUCGGUGUAUGAACAGCUUUGGACUGAGACGAUACGUAAAUGACGGUAAUGGAUAAGGAAGCCACGGCUAACUACGUG
rnacentral:rRNA from 1 species